rnacentral:rRNA from 1 species
GACGAACGCUGGCGGCGUGCUUAACACAUGCAAGUCGAACGAUGAACCACUUCGGUGGGGAUUAGUGGCGAACGGGUGAGUAACACGUGGGCAAUCUGCCCUUCACUCUGGGACAAGCCCUGGAAACGGGGUCUAAUACCGGAUAACACUGCCACGGGCAUCUGUGGUGGUUAAAAGCUCCGGCGGUGAAGGAUGAGCCCGCGGCCUAUCAGCUUGUUGGUGAGGUAAUGGCUCACCAAGGCGACGACGGGUAGCCGGCCUGAGAGGGCGACCGGCCACACUGGGACUGAGACACGGCCCAGACUCCUACGGGAGGCAGCAGUGGGGAAUAUUGCACAAUGGGCGAAAGCCUGAUGCAGCGACGCCGCGUGAGGGAUGACGGCCUC